UACGUAGGGUGCAAGCGUUGUCCGGAAUUUAUUGGGCGUAAAGAGCUCGUAGGCGGUUUGUCGCGUCGGCUGUGAAAUCCCGAGGCUCAACCUCGGGCCUGCAGUCGAUACGGGCAAACUAGAGUGUGGUAGGGGAGACUGGAAUUCCUGGUGUAGCGGUGAAAUGCGCAGAUAUCAGGAGGAACACCGGUGGCGAAGGCGGGUCUCUGGGCCGAUACUGACGCUGAGGAGCGAAAGCGUGGGGAGCGAACAGG
rnacentral:rRNA from 1 species